rnacentral:miRNA from 1 species
GUUGUGAAGGCAUAGCGACUGUC